CCGGCACGGGUGAGUAACACGUACCCAACCUGCCGUCUACUCUUGGACAGCCUUCUGAAAGGAAGAUUAAUACAAGAUGGCAUCAUGAGUCCACAUGUUCACAUGAUUAAAGGUAUUCCGGUAGACGAUGGGGAUGCGUUCCAUUAGAUAGUAGGCGGGGUAACGGCCCACCUAGUCUUCGAUGGAUAGGGGUUCUGAGAGGAAGGUCCCCCACAUUGGAACUGAGACACGGUCCAA
rnacentral:rRNA from 1 species